CUUACAAUUUUGAUAGAAAUAUUGUUGCUCACAUCAAUCACAAGUUUAAUAACUUAACAAGAGCCAGCUUUCUAGUCCGAGACCAUGAAGAUCGCAUUCUAGUAGCUGGUGCUAUUCCUCUUAUAUCUCGAUUUAUGCCGGUUGAUAGAUGUUGAAAUCACCACUUGUCCCAAAAGCUUAAGCUUAUAGGAUGAGGUAGAUUUAUUUAUAUAUUUUAUAUUUUCUUACACUC
rnacentral:lncRNA from 1 species